rnacentral:rRNA from 1 species
GACAGAGGGGGCAAGCGUUGCUCGGAAUCACUGGGCGUAAAGGGCGCGUAGGCGGCCAACUAAGUCAGACGUGAAAUCCCUCGGCUUAACCGGGGAACUGCAUCUGAUACUGGAUGGCUUGAGAUUGGGAGAGGGAUGCGGAAUUCCAGGUGUAGCGGUGAAAUGCGUAGAUAUCUGGAGGAACACCGGUGGCGAAGGCGGCAUCCUGGACCAACACUGACGCUGAGGAGCGAAAGCCAGGGGAGCAAACGGG